GGGUUGUGAGGUUAAGCGACUAAGCGUACACGGUGGAUGCCCUGGCAGUCAGAGGCGAUGAAGGACGUGCUAAUCUGCGAUAAGCGUCGGUAAGGUGAUAUGAACCGUUAUAACCGGCGAUUUCCGAAUGGGGAAACCCAGUGUGUUUCGACACACUAUCAUUAACUGAAUCCAUAGGUUAAUGAGGCGAACCGGGGGAACUGAAACAUCUAAGUACCCCGAGGAAAAGAAAUCAACCGAGAUUCCCCCAGUAGCGGCGAGCGAACGGGGAGCAGCCCAGAGCCUGAAUCAGUGUGUGUGUUAGUGGAAGCGUCUGGAAAGGCGCGCGAUACAGGGUGACAGCCCCGUACACAAAAAUGCACAUGCUGUGAGCUCGAUGAGUAGGGCGGGACACGUGGUAUCCUGUCUGAAUAUGGGGGGACCAUCCUCCAAGGCUAAAUACUCCUGACUGACCGAUAGUGAACCAGUACCGUGAGGGAAAGGCGAAAAGAACCCCGGCGAGGGGAGUGAAAAAGAACCUGAAACCGUGUACGUACAAGCAGUGGGAGCACGCUUAGGCGUGUGACUGCGUACCUUUUGUAUAAUGGGUCAGCGACUUAUAUUCUGUAGCAAGGUUAACCGAAUAGGGGAGCCGAAGGGAAACCGAGUCUUAACUGGGCGUUAAGUUGCAGGGUAUAGACCCGAAACCCGGUGAUCUAGCCAUGGGCAGGUUGAAGGUUGGGUAACACUAACUGGAGGACCGAACCGACUAAUGUUGAAAAAUUAGCGGAUGACUUGUGGCUGGGGGUGAAAGGCCAAUCAAACCGGGAGAUAGCUGGUUCUCCCCGAAAGCUAUUUAGGUAGCGCCUCGUGAAUUCAUCUCCGGGGGUAGAGCACUGUUUCGGCAAGGGGGUCAUCCCGACUUACCAACCCGAUGCAAACUGCGAAUACCGGAGAAUGUUAUCACGGGAGACACACGGCGGGUGCUAACGUCCGUCGUGAAGAGGGAAACAACCCAGACCGCCAGCUAAGGUCCCAAAGUCAUGGUUAAGUGGGAAACGAUGUGGGAAGGCCCAGACAGCCAGGAUGUUGGCUUAGAAGCAGCCAUCAUUUAAAGAAAGCGUAAUAGCUCACUGGUCGAGUCGGCCUGCGCGGAAGAUGUAACGGGGCUAAACCAUGCACCGAAGCUGCGGCAGCGACACUAUGUGUUGUUGGGUAGGGGAGCGUUCUGUAAGCCUGUGAAGGUGUGCUGUGAGGCAUGCUGGAGGUAUCAGAAGUGCGAAUGCUGACAUAAGUAACGAUAAAGCGGGUGAAAAGCCCGCUCGCCGGAAGACCAAGGGUUCCUGUCCAACGUUAAUCGGGGCAGGGUGAGUCGACCCCUAAGGCGAGGCCGAAAGGCGUAGUCGAUGGGAAACAGGUUAAUAUUCCUGUACUUGGUGUUACUGCGAAGGGGGGACGGAGAAGGCUAUGUUGGCCGGGCGACGGUUGUCCCGGUUUAAGCGUGUAGGCUGGUUUUCCAGGCAAAUCCGGAAAAUCAAGGCUGAGGCGUGAUGACGAGGCACUACGGUGCUGAAGCAACAAAUGCCCUGCUUCCAGGAAAAGCCUCUAAGCAUCAGGUAACAUCAAAUCGUACCCCAAACCGACACAGGUGGUCAGGUAGAGAAUACCAAGGCGCUUGAGAGAACUCGGGUGAAGGAACUAGGCAAAAUGGUGCCGUAACUUCGGGAGAAGGCACGCUGAUAUGUAGGUGAAGUCCCUCGCGGAUGGAGCUGAAAUCAGUCGAAGAUACCAGCUGGCUGCAACUGUUUAUUAAAAACACAGCACUGUGCAAACACGAAAGUGGACGUAUACGGUGUGACGCCUGCCCGGUGCCGGAAGGUUAAUUGAUGGGGUUAGCCGCAAGGCGAAGCUCUUGAUCGAAGCCCCGGUAAACGGCGGCCGUAACUAUAACGGUCCUAAGGUAGCGAAAUUCCUUGUCGGGUAAGUUCCGACCUGCACGAAUGGCGUAAUGAUGGCCAGGCUGUCUCCACCCGAGACUCAGUGAAAUUGAACUCGCUGUGAAGAUGCAGUGUACCCGCGGCAAGACGGAAAGACCCCGUGAACCUUUACUAUAGCUUGACACUGAACAUUGAGCCUUGAUGUGUAGGAUAGGUGGGAGGCUUAGAAGUGUGGACGCCAGUCUGCAUGGAGCCGACCUUGAAAUACCACCCUUUAAUGUUUGAUGUUCUAACGUUGACCCGUAAUCCGGGUUGCGGACAGUGUCUGGUGGGUAGUUUGACUGGGGCGGUCUCCUCCUAAAGAGUAACGGAGGAGCACGAAGGUUGGCUAAUCCUGGUCGGACAUCAGGAGGUUAGUGCAAUGGCAUAAGCCAGCUUGACUGCGAGCGUGACGGCGCGAGCAGGUGCGAAAGCAGGUCAUAGUGAUCCGGUGGUUCUGAAUGGAAGGGCCAUCGCUCAACGGAUAAAAGGUACUCCGGGGAUAACAGGCUGAUACCGCCCAAGAGUUCAUAUCGACGGCGGUGUUUGGCACCUCGAUGUCGGCUCAUCACAUCCUGGGGCUGAAGUAGGUCCCAAGGGUAUGGCUGUUCGCCAUUUAAAGUGGUACGCGAGCUGGGUUUAGAACGUCGUGAGACAGUUCGGUCCCUAUCUGCCGUGGGCGCUGGAGAACUGAGGGGGGCUGCUCCUAGUACGAGAGGACCGGAGUGGACGCAUCACUGGUGUUCGGGUUGUCAUGCCAAUGGCACUGCCCGGUAGCUAAAUGCGGAAGAGAUAAGUGCUGAAAGCAUCUAAGCACGAAACUUGCCCCGAGAUGAGUUCUCCCUGACUCCUUGAGAGUCCUGAAGGAACGUUGAAGACGACGACGUUGAUAGGCCGGGUGUGUAAGCGCAGCGAUGCGUUGAGCUAACCGGUACUAAUGAACCGUGAGGCUUAACCUUACAACGCCGAAGCUGUU
rnacentral:rRNA from 1 species